AUUGGAUCUUGCACUCCCCUCACACCACUUCCUGUUCUCUUCUCAACUGAUUUGAAUGCUCUUCUCCUAAUGUUCAACAAGCAUGUGAUCCAAGAAUCUGGUGUAUAAAAUGUUGGUCCUGAAGUCAUGAAUGCCAGAGUUCAAAAUCUACCUUAGACUUACUUGCUAGGAAACUCCAGGACUUUGAAAACAUGAAGUGGGAAUAAGAGCUACUUAAUAAAUGACUAGGAGAUUUGCACAAAACAGGAAAGAGGACUAGACGUGUGAUUUCCCUUGUCCAAGGGCAUCUGGGAUGAGGAAACUCUUCCAGUGUGAGUCCAUACUUUCUCUGCAACUCUUUCUUAGAGAGUCAACUGGAGCACCAACAAAGUGCAAUGACUUGCCUGAAGUCACACAAUUGGUAUACAUCCAAGGUGGGACUGGAACCCAAGUCUUUCUUGCUUUGAUUUCAUAUUCCCAUCCACUAUGCCAUGUAUGUAAGAUGGAAGACUUUGUGGCUUGGAGGUCAGCUCCCUCCACUAUUCUAAACUAUCUCUGUAUGUAUGUAAUCAUAAAAUUAUAAAGUAUUUGAGUUGUAAGGGACCUUAGAAAUGCUUUGUGAAUCAUUUGACCUGGGUUCAAAACCUGGCUUUGUGACUUACUUACUAUGCAUGUGACCUCAUAUAUCUGUAAUAUAAAAAAAAGUUGAACUACAGCUGUGAAUAUCCCUUUCUGUUCUAAUGCUAUCACCCAAUGGGAUAAUCCAAUUCCUUUUCUCUGGCAGAUGAGGAAACUAAGUCAGUGAGCAUGAGUUAGUGGGCUUUGAUCUGACACAAAUGGGCUAUGUGACCUCACUUACUUAGUAUGUGGCUGGGACUAGCACAUGGGUCUCUUGUCUUCUGGGCUAGCAUUCUUUCUUCUCCACUCAAGGCUCCAAUUUUCUCAUUUGGAAAAAUGAGGAAAUGGAGGGAGAAUCAAAUUAGUAGUGAACUAA